GCCGUUGCACAGGAAUCGCUAGAAUCGGUUGGACAAGCUAUUGAUAAUAUCGGCUCCACUGUAUCGGAGAUUAUUGCUCAUGGUAAGGAGUCGAUCCUUGAUAAUGAUUCUGACAGUGAAUUAUCUGAAAAUAGCAGUAGGAGUUUAGGGAGAAGUAGUUUAGAGCAAAAUUUAAACUUGAAUGUCAAACCUUAUAGUAGAAUUGAUGCAACAAUUCGAGCGACCCAGUGUGAUGCGAAAACGUAUUGCGAUGAACCAGAGGAUAUGAUUGAUUAUAAUGAAUGGAAAUUGGGAUUUGUAUUAGAGGAGAUGAAUGGGGAAA
rnacentral:lncRNA from 1 species